CGAACGGGUGAGUAACGCGUGAGGAACCUGUCUCAAAGAGGGGGACAACAGUUGGAACCGACUGCUAAUACCGCAUAAGCCCACGGCUCGGCAUCGAGCAGAGGGAAAAGGAGCAAUCCGCUUUGAGAUGGCCUCGCGUCCGAUUAGCUAGUUGGUGAGGUAACGGCCCACCAAGGCGACGAUCGGUAGCCGGACUGGGAGGUUGAACGGCCACAUUGGGACUGAGACACGGCCCAG
rnacentral:rRNA from 1 species